AUACUCUCAGAUUUUGUUCACUCGAGUUCUCUCACCGGCUCUCGGGACUCAGAAGCUCACCAUUUCACUGUCAGAACUCCGCUCAGGAGCUCAGAAGUAAGUCUCAAAUUCUUAAUUUCACGAUUUCACUGCGACGUUUGGGUUUGAUUUAUGAGAAAACUCUCGUGAAUUUCAACCUAAGUUGACGAUUUCCUCAUUUGUUACUGGGCUCAAUUAUUUUUAUGGUUUGAAAUUUCUGAAUUUCAAGUUGAAAUUUUCAACGUAGUUACUUGGUUUGGGGCUUUUGGUUUAGUUCCUAGAACUUAGAAGGUUCAGCACUGCACUCACUGGCUCACAUUUUACUCUCUUCUCAGAAGCUCAGUAGUCCGCUUAGUCGCUCACUGCCUCGAUUUCACUCUCAGAAGCUCACGAUUUCUCUCUCAGAAUCAGAACUCUUCUCAGGUGCUCACGAUUUCUCAUUCUCUGCUACUGGUAAGUCUAAAUUACACUUUUAAUUUCACAAUUUCACUGUGACGUUUUGAUUUCAUUUAUGAGAAAACUACAGUUGAAUUGGCAUAUAAUUUGGCUUUCCCCUUUUUUUUUGUGUGGGAAAUCAUUUACUUGAUUAAGUAGUUAUUAUUUUGUUGACUUGAGUAUAACUAUCAGUACUAUGUUUGGACUUAAUUUUCUGUUUGUGCUAGAAAAUUUUCAAGUUGUGUGACAUGGUGACAGCUUAAUAUACAAAUUGUGAUGCUACAGUGGUGCAGCUUGUAGUGCUGCUGUUUUAUUUAGUUAUUUUGAUAUGAUAUUUGUGUUGAGCUGCUUGUGGUGCAACUUGUAGCCUUGUUGUGUUGUUACUGUUGUUAGGAACUUGAUAAAUUAGGAAGCAUACAAGGCUUGUAGUGUUAUUGUGUUGUUACUGUUGUAGCUGCUGAUUAGCCUGAUUGAAUGGCUAUAAUCUAUAUCGUAGUGUUGUUGUGUUGCUCCCUUUCUUUUCCUCUGGUCCUUAUAUAAUUAUCUCUUCCCCAUUUAGUGGAUGUUGCAAGGAAGAUUUCUUCCACGAUGUUACAAUGGAUGGGUGGGUCAAGGAGGAAAGUUGAUACUGUAAGUGUCAAAUUACUUAUUAAUCUGGAGAUUUACUUGCAUAUUUCUGAAUUUGGAGGCUGGAAGCACAAUUGAGCAAAUUUGAAAUUAGGUAGAACUACAGCUCAUUAGUGUGGUUUGUUAGUUGAUCUCUAGUAAUGCAUGUCUCUCAUGAUGGUAAUGGAUUUUAAUGUAAAGUUGUGGUUAAUACAGUCCAAAUGUAAUGCAUGUCUUUUGAGUCUUGAGAUGGUAAUGGAUUUUAAUGUAUAUUGUGGUUAAUACUGUUCAAAUGAGGAGUUACAUAAAAGUAUAUUAAAAGAUGAAGAUCACCCUUUAGAGAUUAGGAGCUCAAGCAUAUUCCUAGAGGAAAUGAAAAUAUUCUUAAUCCAUGUAGUCCUAGCCUAAAUCUUCUUUUGAAAAAAGCUAACCUCCCACACUUUCUCUAUGCGAGUUUAAUUUUGUACAAACCAGUUUGCAGGUUUGUUGUGAUAACAUUCAGCUUACUCCACCCCCCAAAAUUAAAUAUAAAAAAGGCAAUAAGAAAUAGAACAUUCAUCUUCUGUUGAAGGCUAUCAACUUGUUCUUGUGGAAGUUUAAUUUGUUCCCAUUGUUUUUAAAGAUUUAAUCUUAUUGUGCUUUGGGAAAUGUUUUCAUACUGACAUUUUCUCUUGUGAUUUGUAUUAUCCUUUUGCGGGAUGGAAAAACAUCAGUCAAGAAGGUCAACACAGAAAAGGUAUUAAAAUAUCACCCAUCAGUCUUUAUUUGAUUGGAUAAUUGUUGUAGCUUUACUCAACGUGAACAUAGGUCAUCAUUCUUUGAUACUGUUGUCCUAACUUCCAAUAUGUAGAGAUUUAGACUAAGGGAAUCUUAGUAGCUUAGUUGGUUGGCUAUUUGAACUCCCACCUUGUUGGUGAGGAUUCAAUUCCCCAUAUUGUAAUCCCCUCUCCCAUUUCCCCUUUCCC
rnacentral:lncRNA from 1 species